GACGAACGCUGGCGGCGUGCCUAAUACAUGCAAGUCGAACGCAGUGGGGGCGGGUGAGUAACACGUGGGUGACCUCCCAUCAGAGGGGAUAACACUUGGAAACAGGUGCUAAACCGAUACUGAUGGAUGGACCCGCGGUGCAUUAACUAGUUGGUGGGGUAACGGCUCACCAAGGCCACGAUGCCUAGCCGGCCUGAGAGGGUGAUCGGCCACACUGGGACUGAGACACGGCCCAGACUCCUACGGGAGGCAGCAGUAGGGAAUCUUCGGCAAUGGGCGAAAGUCUGAUCGAGCCACGCCGCGUGAGUGAAGAAGGUUUUCGGAUUGUAAAGCUCUGUUGUUAGAGAGGCGGUAUCUAACCAGAAAGCCCCGGCUAACUACGUGCCAGCAGCCGCGGUAAUAC
rnacentral:rRNA from 1 species